UACGAAGGGUGGCAAACGUUGCGUCGAAUUAUUGGGCGUAAAGCGCACGUAGGCGGCUUAGCAAGUCGGAUGUGAAUCCCUCGGCUCAACCAAGGAAGUGCAUCCGAAACUGCUGAGCUUGAGUACUUAAGAGGAUCGCGGAAUUCCCGGUGUAGAGGUGAAAUUCGUAGAUAUCGGGAGGAACACCAGUGGCGAAGGCGGCGAUCUGGGAAGAUACUGACGCUGAGGUGCGAAAGCGUGGGGAGCAACAGG
rnacentral:rRNA from 1 species